ACAUAUGUUCUCUUUUGUUUUCUCUGCUGCCACGCCAUUGGCUGGCCAGGGGGAAAUAUCACAUGCAAGGCUCACGUUCCCAUUGGCUGAGGCGCGCGAGCCCCUGGACCUCUCCUCCCGGCCUCUGAUGUCAGGGAUUCCCCUGACCAAUCAGAGCGAAGCUGGUCGGGUGGGUGGGAGCAGGAAAUUCAAAGUGUAAAAAGUAUAAAAUGCAGAUUCUCUUGUAUGCCGGUUCCUUUUGCAUCUUAUUGCAACCAUCAUCCUGCUCCAGCUGGACCAGAAUAAACUUUGUGACCUUUGCUUCAAAACCUGGUGAGACUUUUAUAGGGAAAUAGGGAAAUCUUUGCUUCUCGUAAGCUCACCAGGUGUUGUGCAACCUUCCUUCUGGAGUUUUGUACUGGUCUCCAUUUCUAACAAGACCCCCAAAUCUUUGAUCUCCAUAUCAGAAGGAGCUUAAGAUUACCAUAUUCUGUGAAUCUAAUGCACACCCUUAUUUUGGUGAGGUCAUUUAGCCAAAAAAAGCUGAGCAUUAUUUCAAGUAGUAUUUUAUUUAAAGUCCCUGUAAUAGCUAUUUGUGCUACGUACAACUAUUUCUCUCAGGUAUGUUGUUACUGCCUACACAUUUCAACAUUUUCCAGCAAGAGUGAUUUAUACGUAGUGAGUUUUUCACAUUGAUCCCACAUUUCCUUUUGAAUUUUUCUCAUUCUUGUACAGGUUUUGCGAGACUCCUUCUCUGGAGGUUUUAAGAAGAAGCUAGAUGGCCAUCUGUCAGGAGGGUUUGGAUUGUGUCUUCCUGCAUGGCAGAAGGCGGCUGGACUGGAUGGACUUUGUACUAUACCUUCCAACUCUUAGAAUCAGUAAUAUAUGCUACAAGUUACUUUCAGAAUGACAGCACCUAGUGAAAAUUCAUCAUGGAACUAAUUCAGGUUUCCCUGCUUAUUGGAUUUUCUUUGAGCUACCUGAUUCAACAGUUGAUGAAUCCCAAAGCAGGAAACGCUUCAUAAGUUCAAGUUCUGAUGAGGAUGAUGACUGUGAUUUAGCUAAAAGAAAAUGUGAGGAAGACCGGGUGGUUUCCGAAUCAGCUAACAGGCUUUUGGAAACACUUUCAUCAGAACCAGCAAUACCAUCCUCUGAGCAGGGGGUUACAGAAAAUUCAUCAGGGGCAGCUAAAGAAGAAGAAGUGAAGUCACCAUCUAUCGCUGCUAUUUGGAAGCUAUGCUGCGUAGCAUCAAGCCAGCUACAAGUAAGUAUGAGUUUUGAAGAGAUGUGUUUUAUGUAUGGGUGGGGUGGUAGUCACUGAAUGUGCGUGUUUUAAAAUCUGAUUAAUUUUAUU
rnacentral:lncRNA from 1 species